CUAACCUGAACCAGAAAGUUAGAGGUGCAAGCGCAAGGUUUGCAACUAGCUUUCCAGCAACAAGGAACUAAGUGAGUUAGCACCCAGCGUCUAACUCUGCAAGGACCCCGAGCGACUGGCUUCCUCGGAUCAGAACCUUUGGAACAAGGACACAGCAAAGACUGCAGCUGGAACCACAGCUCUUCCCAGCCUUCUUCCGCCAGCUAACAAAGCAGUACACCACUAAUAGGCGGUGGGCUGAAGCCACGUAUCUGCAUUAGUUUUACAAAGUAAUGAUCCCCGUGCAGGGACAACCUGGAAUUGUAAAAUUGUGAAGAUUACUUUAUUCUUCAUCAGAUCUGGGUUGUUGCCACUCUAUAUUCUUGCACAUUUUUCCACAAUUAUAAUUUAAAGUUUGUUUAAUAUUCAGGCAAACGCUGCAGUCUACUAUAACAGUUUGACCAAUAGAAAGCUAAGAUUUCGAGGGAGGGCCGUCGUUAGCCUAUCGGAUUUAGCUACACUGAGCACAGCUGUUCAACGGAGGAAUCGGCAGAUGGACACGACGGAGACAAUUACCGUGUGUAGUCUCUGAAACAGGAGAAGUGGUAUCGUGCCUCACUAGCCACUAGGUCCCUGUCACGAAUGUGUAGAAACAGACUCUCCUCCUGUCUUUCUUCAGCAGCAAGAAGUAACUUCCCUGCAUGUUCACAGCAGCUAGAUGGGCAAAUGACUCCCUCCUGUGAUGGAAUCAAAUUCAGCAUUCAAAGUUCAGAAGUUCAAGAUCCACAUUUACAGUUUCACACUGCAUGUUUGAUACCAAUGUUCUGUUCCAUUUUCCUUUUGAAUUAAAGCUUCC